GGAGGAGGCAGGGGGAGUGUGUGUCGGGGGGUGGUGAGUACGGGUAUGGCGCCCCCAAGCGGCCCGGCCGAGCCAGCGCCCGCAGUCUGCCUCCUCCCGCCUUGUACCCCGCGGCCCAGAUCCACACCCCCAACUGGCCCUGCGCGCCCCCUCUCAAGGGAGGGCAAACUGAGGCGUGGAGAGGGUUCGGGGACCAGGUGGUGGGUGACGUUAAGCGAGUUACCUCGAAUCUUUACCGCAGGACCCUCACCUCUAAAGGAAUAUCGUUCAAUCCAGACGGCUGGUGUGAAGAUAAAAUAAGUUAAUGCUUGUGAAGCCCAGGAGAAAAAGUGCUGGGCACCCACAGAGAGGAAACUGAAGCUCUGGAAGGUGAAGCUACUUGUCCGAGGUCACCCAGCCAGUAAAUGACUGAGUGGAGAUUCACCUCCAACCUGACUUCAAAGCCUGUGUUCUGCCAGCAGGGAGUCAUCAGCUGUCAGGAUGGGUCAGAGGAGGCACUUUGAGAGUCAUACCCUUUCAAGCUGGUUCUUGAAAGAGCCUGCAAGAAAGAAGCUUAUUUCAGGCAGAGGGAUGGAUGUGUGCAAGGGCUUAAAGACACAUGAUAGCGGAUGGCUGGUUGGUGUAACUGGUGGCACAGGAAUAUGGGAGACUGUGGAUAUGGUGCUGAAGGAGGUUUUUGUGUACCUAGAAUGACAAUUAAUGUCCUUGUAUGUAAUUUAUUUUAUAGACCAGUGGUUUUCAUAGUAUGUAGUUCUGGUACUCCUUGGUGUCCCUGAGAUCUUUCAGAGGUCAGUGAGCUCAAAAUUAUUUUCAUAAUAAUGCUAAAUGUGAUUUGCUUUUUUCACUGUGAUUCUCUAAUGAGUGUAUGGUGAAGUUUUCCAAAGACUACAGGACAGAUGAUAUUUUCAACACAUUAAAUGCGGAAACAGAUUUGAGAAUCCAGCUGUCUUCUUUAAGCCAGGUGUUAAAAAAAACUUGUACAAAUGUAAGACACCACUUUUCUCAUCAAUAUUUUGUUUUAGAAAUUACAGAAAUUUUUAAAUUAAAAUGUGAUUAUGUUAACAUGUAAUGGGUUUAUUGUAAUUUUAAGUGAAUUAAUAAAAUUUUAGAAAUUUCU
ensembl:lncRNA